rnacentral:rRNA from 1 species
UACGUAGGGUCCAAGCGUUAUCCGGAAUCACUGGGCGUAAAGAGUGCGUAGGUGGGUGUUUAAGUGCAAUGCGAAAUUCUGGGGCUCAACCCCACGAAUGGUAUUGCAUACUGGAUACCUAGAGGAUAUGAGAGGCAAGUGGAAUUACCGGUGUAGCAGUGAAAUGCGUAGAUAUCGGUAGGAACACCAAUGGCGAAGGCAGCUUGCUGGCAUAUUUCUGACACUAAGGCACGAAAGCGUGGGGAGCGAACAGG